ensembl:lncRNA
GGAAUUGGCGGUUAACGACAUGCUCACUUUACUUGGACGUUUUCUAAUCGUCUUCUUUGGAAUAUGCUUUCAAGGUCUGUGAAGCCAAACUUGAUGCUGGGGAUUUAUUUUUGUCAGUGGAGUCAAAUGGUUGAAGCAGAAUUUGCCCGUCUUACAUCUGUUGACCUGAAAGGGUUCCUUUUUGCUGUGCUUGACCAUUAUGGAGAGGUUCGUGGAGCUGUACAAAAUCAAGAGCGGCAUAGAAGGGCUAACUAGGCUCAUAAGAUGCUUCGGAGAUGAUAGCCCUACACAAAGGAAGAGGACAGAGGACCUCAUUUUCUAAAGGAAGAGCCCUCACACACUUUCAAGACUGUGAAGCCGACAGGUAUUGAAGACACGUUUUCUAAGAGGAUGAAAGUUGGCAUUGCGAUGGUGAAAGAAGAAGACAUCAUCGAUGUGUUGGUUGUCCCUGAGGCGGCAGUAAUCCUGUCUAAUCUGAGGGAUGUCUCAAGUGCCAUUUCCAUGCUGAUGGGCCUUCUCUUUUGCCCUCAACAUAGACUAUCCAAAGGAACUUAAGGACAUCUUUGAAGUCAUUCAGAACAUCCUAAUGAACAUUGGUGGAAG